AACGAACGCUGGCGGCAUGACCUAACACAUGCAAGUCGAACGAGACCUUCGGGUCUAGUGGCGCACGGGUGCGUAACGCGUGGGAAUCUGCCCUUGGGUUCGGAAUAACAGCGAGAAAUUGCUGCUAAUACCGGAUGAUGACGUAAGUCCAAAGAUUUAUCGCCAAGGAUGAGCCGCGUAGGAUUAGCUAGUUGGUGAGGUAAAGGCUCACCAAGGCGACGAUCCUUAGCUGGUCUGAGAGGAUGAUCAGCCACUCUGGGACUGAGACACGGCCCAGACUCCUACGGGAGGCAGCAGUGGGGAAUA
rnacentral:rRNA from 1 species